rnacentral:rRNA from 1 species
GUAGUCCACGCCGUAAACGAUGCCGACUCGGUAUCCGUCGGGCGAAUAGCCUGGGGGGUGCCCCAGCUUACGCGGUAAGUCGGCCGCCUGGGGACUACGAGCGCAAGCUUAAAACUCAAAGGAAUUGACGGGGCCCGCACAAGCAGCGGAGCGUGUGGUUUAAUUCGACGCAACGCGCAGAACCUUACCCAGUCUGGACAUGUGCCUGCAAGCUGCUGAAAGGCAGUCGCUUUCGAGGGUGGCACACAGAUGCUGCAUGGCUGUCGUCAGCUCGUGUCGUGAGAUGUUGGGUUAAG